CCGCCCUGCGCGCCCGGCUCCGCUCCCUCCGUCUCUCCCCUUGUGCUUUUUCCUUAAUUUUCUUUUCUUUUCCCUCCCCCCCCCCCCCCCCCCCCCAAUUUAUUCUCCAUUUUGUUUUGGCGUUUCUUCCUGGUUUUGUUGUUGUUGUUGUUGUUUUUCCUCUUUUUCCCAUUUUCCCUUCUCUCCCCUCCCCGGACGAAUACGAAAUUCCCAGUGGCCGCCCCCGUCCCGGUCCCCGCCGAGGCGGAGGGGAGCGGGCAGGAGGCAGCGGAGCGGUGCGGAGCUCGCAGCCCCCCGCCCCACACCGGGCACUGCCUCCCCUCUCGGGAUGCAGAGCCUUCCAGGAACUGGAAAAUCCAGAUUUGCAGCAUCUCCCAGGGAAAGACGAUUUCCUACGUGCCCCCCCAGCGUGAGGGUCCUGCUGAAGGUUAAACUCGUGAGUGCCUUUGGUUUUGCACCAAGUUAAUCUCCCCACAAACUAAAAGACUGGGGAAAUGCUGGUGAAAACGGUGCUGAUGUUGCUGGCUGGUCCCAUCCCUCUUCCAGAACCAGAUGUGGAUUUCACCACCACUGCCAGCCUUGAAUGCUCAUCCCCACACUGUUCCCUGGCCUGCUUCAGCUUCCCCACCUGAAAACAGAGUAAACCCAUCCACCUCCCCAGGGUACAUUAUGGUGGCUUAAAAUUAACACUCAAAAAUGUAUUUUCAAAUCCCUUCAUGAAAGGCAUCAGAAACACUGGGUGUUAGCAGAAUAGAUCCUUCACCUUUUAACAGCUGUUAAUUGCCAUUAAAACCAAACCUGCACAGCUUUAUUGGAGCAGCAUCCAAGUUUCCUUGUCGGAUGCUGCAUCCACCCUCGGUCGUGCUCUCCUGCACGUGCCGGCUGCCACGACGAGGUGUGGUGGAUAAAUCCUGUCUCACUGGUGGUUAUCUUGCACUUUGGGUCCCAUUGUACGAUUUCCUGGUGCCAGGUUUUUUCCUUCGCCAUCCUGUGAGUCGUUGCAAAAGUUGCAAGAAGCCCAACACACCUUCCUUUGACUCGAAGCAGGAAAGAAGAUGGGAUGCAAGACUUAUUCCCAAAAAUACCCCGAGGAGCCAAGCAGGAACCUGCCCUCGAGUAACUGGGUCCCUGAGGCUGAAUCCAGCCCACAGCUGUCAGCAAAAGCAUGUGCUGGGUGUCACAGGAAUGGGAAUAGCCCUCUGUGACCAACGUGGAAUAAAUCCAAGUCAUCAACAGGCAGGGCUGGGGAAAGGCUGCCAGCACUGCCCCCGCCAUCCACCGUGCUGGGAGUCCCUUCCCUGCUGCCUUUGGGGUUUAUUGACCUGAUCCCUUCCAUGGCAUCCCCCCAUCACCCUGCGGCCCAGAUCUGGCUGGAGAAGCCAAGUGCCAGGUAGGGGAGAAACCCUUGGGAAAACGCUGUGGCAGGAGUUUUCCUGGUGUUUGUGAAGCCAUUGGCUCCUCACAUCCCUCACAGGUGCUUUAUGCACUCCCAAACACCCAGACCCACCCGGGAGUGCCCUGUGCCACUAAACUGCUGAUGCUAAAACACAUGAGGUGGAUUCAACAGGGUAAGAGGGGAAGGAGUCUCUGUGAUUCCGAGUGUCUUGUUAGACCCCAGGGUUUUGUUUCCCCCUGGAUCCCAGCACAAGGAGGGGGUGUCCAGGGCUGGCUCCCAGGGCUAUCCCAUCUCUUUUCCCAUUGCCCCGGCCCUCUGCAUGGGGGAAGGGGCGGUUGGACAAGACGAGCCCUUUCUGCUCCACAAAGCUCGUCAGCCAGCCGCACUGGGCUUAUAAUUAUUAUUUCCUUAAAGACGAGCCGAGCAGCUAUAGACAAAAAAGUCCCCUCUUGUCGGAGCUGGAAUUUGAUGUCCUAACGACUGUUUUUGUACCGCGCCUGAGAGGAAAGAGCUCGGCAGGAGGGGGAAAGAGAGAUUUAAUUAUAGAGCUGCAUUGUGAUUUUGCACACAUAGCUGGCUGUUGUAAUCAGGUUACAAGUGUAUCUGAUUUUCUUCCCUCCCCUCCCUCUUCCUCCUCUUCUCUUUCUUUCGGUUUUUUUUUUUCUUCUUUUUUCCCUCCCCCUUUUUUCCUUUCAGUGGUCCAAAUUAGUUGCUUAUGUUUGGGUGUUGCAGAGACGAGCUGUUAUUUGCCUUCCCUGAAGAUCUUGAUCAAGGGAACAACGUUUCCAAAGAACCUCGGCAGUUCUUUGCCGAAGGAAGGCAAAGGUUCCCGGCUCCGGCAGAAACCCCCGGGGCUGUGCCAGGCACUCGCAUCCCGCCAUCCCCAGGCUCCCUUCCCUUCCCACCACCAAAAUAAGGGGAGACACCCAUAUAUAUAUAUAUUUUUUUUUAUAUAUAUAUUUUUAUAUUUUUAUAUUUAUAUACAUAUAUAUCUUCCUCCCCCAUGCUCCCCACCAAAUUCCUUCACAUCCAGGAUUCCCUCAAUAAAUUGAUGCACUUGAAGAAGAGGAGGAGCCCAAUUUACCUUACCUGGGGCAGGAGAAGGGAAAGAGAGGAGACAAGAACCUUUUUAAAAGAAACUUAAUAUUUUCCCUAUCUGAGGCAAGUGAUGCCGCACUGGGAUUGGGGGCUGUUGUUGGCUUCAUUUAGGAAUCCAUUGUUGUCCAUGUGAAUUCUUUUUUACAUUUCAAAUAACAGGAUUAUUUCCCCAGGGGGUAAUAUCCUGUAAUUUGAACACAAUAAUGGGAAUAAAUUACUUACUUAGAACUAA